AAGGCUUUAGCUUAAUUAAAGUGUCUGUUUUGCAUACAGAAGAUGUGGGUUAGUAUCCUGCAAGUCUUA
rnacentral:tRNA from 1 species